rnacentral:lncRNA from 1 species
AAUUAUUUUAUUUUUUGCUACAAAUAUCUAUGAAAGAGUUGUAGUUUAUGUGAGUGUUUUCUAGGAGAACCUGUGACCUCACGGUUCAUGAGUUAAUACAUUUGUUCUGGCUAUUAAAUCGUAACUGAAUAUUAAUGCAACAUUUCAAAUACUAUAAUCUGAAGGCUUUUGUAAAAACAGUAUUUUUGUAUUGUACCAUGGGACUGUAGUUAUAAAAUGAGAAAGCACAAUGUGUUCAAAAUAUUGAAGUUCUUGACCUCCUGCUGAGCAUUUGAUAUCGAAAUAUACUUAGUUAUAGACUUUGAAAUUGAUGCCCCUUUUCAUUCUGGAUUGAAUUUGCACCUUUGCUACAGUAAUUUCACUUUGCAUCUCUGCACAUAAUUAUUUUGAGACUGAUUCAACAGGGGAACAAUAAAGACAGACUUCUGCCUGAACAUCAGACAGUAUUAUUUUAAUGAAACUUGAAAGUUUGAGGGACUAAAGCAAUAAACACUGCAAAAUGCCCAAACCAGGACUUCAGGCAGACAUUUUUUUGGUUGUUUGUUACCCCAGCAGUAUUUGGAGCUAUAUUUCUGUAAAGUGAGGUAUAAGUGUAAAAGACAGCAGAGCUUUGGCCUCUGUGAUCACUCCUGCAGCAGAGCAAGGAAUCCUGUAUCAAGCAUCCAUCACCUGCAGCCUCCAAGCUCUUGACUGCUGAUAGGGACACCUGAAUAAGGAAAUGCAGCAAGGGUGUAAGAAAGACUUAUAUCUCCCUAAUCCUAAACUCAGUAUCAAUUUCUCCUUAUGUAUUCGUUCUGCUGAGGACUCUUAAUUAACUCCCAAGGCAAAUGAACUGAAGAAGGUGACUGGCUCUUUUCAUUCUGCCCUGAAUCAUCACUGUCAUAAGCAGCCACAAUCUUUUGCUCUGUGAAUAUUUGCUUAAGAGGCUGUGGUCUUGUUCUAAGUCAUUUAAGAAAUGAACAAAGGAACAACUUAUAUGGGAGAUUAAUGAGUGUAAGGGACUUUGGUAAUAUGGUGACACACCCCCAGUUAUCUGGCCACUGCAGGCACCUCAGCUGUGAAGAUGGAAGAGAAGAAGUAAUCCCUACGAACGGCAGCUGA